rnacentral:lncRNA from 1 species
ACUCCUUCCCUGCCUUUCCUACCUAUCACUCUCGUGCUGAAAGUUGGAGCUCCUUACCCAAAGACUGGGCGGAAAGGGUGACCGCCCUGGACCCCUGCCCGACUUCCCGUUAGGCCAAGCCGCUGUCCUGAAAGGGGAUCGUGUCCAGGCCGGCUUCCUGGAGACACACCUGCGCCUGCACACACCCACCGCGGUCGCGUCACCAGUGCCGCGGCCACGUGGACGAAGACCAAAGUCUGGAGGGAAUUCCCUCAGCCACAAAGCGAUGGGAAAGCGGGACCCGGUGGAGACCAGAGUCUUGCUAUGCUUUCCAGGCUGGUUUUGAACUCCUAGCCUCAAGCGAUUUUCCUGCCUCAGCUUCCCAAAGUGCUGGGAUUACAGGCACAAGCCACUGCACCCGGCCCUGUUGUUGUUAAGAAAAUUACAAGUUAAAUCUUGUACCAGUGAACAAGGUGGCCCCAGGGGAAGGCAGUCUCCCAGUAGAAAAAACCUGAAAGUUGUGAUCCGCAGCUUCCCGAUAAGAUCUCAGGAGUUGGGCGAGUGGGCUCAAGCAUGUGCAUUAGGAGGCAACAUGGCAGACUUUAACUGGUAUAUAUGACCUUCUAGGAACUUUUGACUGGUAAGAUUAGGGAUCGUGAUGUGGAGCUGCACUUCCUGGUUCCAAAUCCUGGCUCUUCCCCUCAUCCCUGGGUAAGUUGAGGGAUGAGAGCAAGAGAAGGUUGAUCCUGACUCAGAUCUCUGCAUGGGGCAUGUCACUGAUGACGGCGGCAUUCCCUGAGAGAGGGAACACUAAGUUUGAAGUUGGGCAUAGUGAGCACUAUUUUGGAUGAGUUAAGUUUAGAAGUGCCUGAAGACAUCCAAGUGGAAGAAGUGGCUGCAUGGACUGAAGAUACAGACUGGGAAACGUUAACACCAUCAAGGAACUGGAGUCCUGGGCACAGAAUAUGCUGCAAAGGGAGAAGAAGGAAGACGUGUGGUAUGGAAUCACCUAUGGAUAAGGUUGAGAACCAUGGGCUAGAUGCUAUGGAGACCAACGUAUCACUUACUAGGCUUUACUUUGUGCCAGGCACUGGAUUCGGCAUUACCCCAUUUAAGCCUCACUACCAUCCUUCAUGUUACUAUUCCACGUUGCCGCUCAGGAGAAACAAAAUUUUUUUAUUAAAUUCAAGUAACCUGAGGUCCCAUAUUUAGUAAGAGGCAGAGGAGUUAGAUGUGUCAAUAGCUAAAUUACAUGGCUGUGUCCUCUAGCUGGCCAGGGACUGACAACAUCAGUAUCACCUGGUGACUCUCCCAGGGGAGAUGUUUUUAAAAAUCUUUUCCAGUAAUUCUGUGCAACAUGGCAAUCUGAAACCAGUCUUUCAGACCUGGAAGUUCUUUAGAGACCACAGGACUCUCUUUGAUAUUUUUUCUUUUGAAUUUUUUUAAAAUACAGAAUCCUUUUUCAUGUUCUCUGUUUAUAAAACAACUGCAUGUCAAUUACAUUAUUUUUUAGAAGAUAGGUACAAGAGCCAGGCGUGGUGGCUCAUGGCUGUAAUCACAACACUUUGGGAGGUCGAGGCAGGUGGAUCAUUUGAGGCUGGAAGUUCGAGACCAGCCUGGCCAACAUGGCAAAACCUGUCUCUACUAAAAAUAUAAAAAAUUAGCCUGGAGUAGUGGUGCAUGUCCCAGCUACUCGGGAGGCUGAGGCAUGAAAAUCGCUUGAACCCGGGAGGUGCAGGUUGCAGUGAGCCAAGAUCGCACCACUGCACUCCAGCCUGGGCAACAGAGCAAGACUGUGUCUUGACAGCAACAAAAAAAGAAGAUAGGUAUAGGAAUUAAAAAGAAAGCAAAUAAUUACUGGUAGCCUGACCACUAAGAGAUAUAUACUGAUAUUUUUUUUGCGGGGGGUGCAUCUCCUUGCAGGCCUUUUUGUAUGUUUAUGUUCAAACACAUUUGUAACAACAAUGAAUAAAAAACGCAUAAUAUUCAAUGA